CUACGGGGCGCACCAGUGAGGAAUAUUGGUCAAUGGGCGCGAGCCUGAACCAGCCAUCCCGCGUGCAGGAUGACGGCCCUAUGGGUUGUAAACUGCUUUUCUAUGCCAAGAAACCUGAUUACGUGUAAUCAGUUGCCGGUAGCAUAGGAAUAAGCAUCGGCUAACUCCGUGCCAGCAGCCGCGGUAAUACGGAGGAUGCAAGCGUUAUCCGGAUUCAUUGGGUUUAAAGGGUGCGCAGGUGGGCUUGUAAGUCAGUGGUGAAAUGCUGCCGCUUAACGGUAGAACUGCCAUUGAUACUGCGAGUCUUGAGUAUGGUUGAGGUAGGCGGAAUGUGUUGUGUAGCGGUGAAAUGCAUAGAUAUGACACAGAACGCCAAUUGCGAAGGCAGCUUACUAAGCCAUUACUGACGCUGAGGCACGAAAGCGUGGGGAGCGAACAGGAUUAGAUACCCGCGUAGUC
rnacentral:rRNA from 1 species